GAUCCUCUCUGUUGUGAUUCAUCCCCCCGGGGCCCUACAGUUUCUCCUUCCUGACUCUUACAUUUCUUUGGAUGGCAUCAUUAUUUUAGGUGCCAAGCACUGUGGAUUCUGCCUCUCAGUGUCCAGACACCCAUUUUCCUUCCCACUGUUCCUUCCCCAUGGAGAAGCCUGUGGCUGGCUGACAGCAGAGAGAGAUGCUCAACUUGGAGAAGGUGUUACCUGGGCCAGGUGGGGAAGGUUUGUUUGCAGAGCAAAGAAGUGAAGCCAGCCACCUCAAGAAAGAACAGUUCAUGUGCAGGUGACCAUGUAGUUCAAGUCAUCAUUAAAUCCAAAGCUGAGCAGCCGUGAUGCUAUUGGUGGAAUUGCCCUUGACCAAGAGAAAUCCAUCUUGAUUGUCUCAAUAAUCGGCUCAAGGACCACUGAUGAUGAGGUCCUAAAUUUAAUUCCUAAAAAACCACUAAAGUUAUAGAGGCAAAAUGAGAAAGCAUAGCUCACAAAUACCUUGUGACCAAUGACUUGCCUAUUCAACGUGAAAAAGAUGAGGAUGAAGACCUUUAUUAUGAUCCACUUCCAAGUAAUGAACA
rnacentral:lncRNA from 10 species